ACUCCUACGGGAGGCAGCAGUGAGGAAUAUUGGGCAAUGGGCGCAAGCCUGACCCAGCCAUGCCGCGUGAAGGAUGAAUGCCCUAUGGGUUGUAAACUUCUUUUGUACGGGACAAAACUCCUGGUCGUGACCGGGAUUGAUGGUACCGUGCGAAUAAGCAUCGGCUAACUCCGUGCCAGCAGCCGCGGUAAUACGGAGGAUGCGAGCGUUAUCCGGAUUCAUUGGGUUUAAAGGGUGCGUAGGCGGAAUAGCAAGUCAGCGGUGAAAGCCUGUGGCUUAACCAUAGAAUUGCCGUUGAUACUGUUGUUCUUGAGUGUAGUUGAAGUGGGCGGAAUGUGUAAUGUAGCGGUGAAAUGCUUAGAUAUUACACAGAACACCAAUUGCGAAGGCAGCUCACUAAGCUAAUACUGACGCUGAGGCACGAAAGCGUGGGGAGCAAACAGGAUUAGAUACCCUGGUAGUC
rnacentral:rRNA from 1 species